GCCGGGCGCAGCGGUGCGUGCCUGUGGCCCCAGCUAUCGGGAGGCUGAGGCUGGAGGAUCACUUGAGUCCAGGAGUUCUGGGCUGUAGUGCACUAGGCCCACCGGGUGUCUGCACUAAGUUCGGCAUCAAUAUGGUGAGCUCCCAGGAGCUGGGGACCACCAGGUUGCCUAAGGAGGGGUCAACCGGCCUAGUUCAGAAACGGAGCAGGUCACAACUCCCGUGCUGAUCAGUAGUGGAAUCGUGCCUGUGAAUAGCCACUGCACUCCAGCCUGAGCAACACAGCGAGACCCCGUCUCA
rnacentral:SRP_RNA from 1 species